GGACGACACCGUAGAGCAGUGUAAUGAAGUGUGGUCCUAUCAGGAGGUGCGCAGGCUGGCAGUGCUCACCACUGAAGAGAUGGCGUACUUCGAAGAGAAGAUGGCCCGCCUGGCUGCCGAAGAAUACUGUGAAAUCAAAGAGCCCCAGAAGAAGGGGACCAGGGUCUGCAGGCAGAGAUGUCCUGCGGUAAUGCCGUCACCCCGGAGUCCCUCACUCCGGUGGUGGAAGGUACCUAAUCCUCCUGGAUUAGGUACCUUCCACCAUCACAUUGAUUUCACUCUGAGUUUUGACCAAUAUUUACUUAAUCUGAAAGAGCUAAGGAUAUCUACUGUAUUCUCCUACAAUGUUGUUCAUUACAAAUUGAAUUAAUCUCUGUUCACUGAUCAUUAACAACUGUAUCACUCAAUAAAGGUUCCUUCACCUGAA